AGCUCUGCGGGAGUGGCAGGGCCCCCCAGCCCUGCUAGGGAGGGAAGGCAGUUAUUGGCUUCCAUCAGCCCUUCCAGAGAGAACAGCAGUCCACAGACCAGCUCGUCAGGGGGCCAAGGGACUGCCCACCCAGUCCUGACAAGGAUACAGUGCUUGCGCUGGUGCUGGGAAGAUGGGGCGUGCCAGGCUAAGGGCUGUGUGGGGGAUAUGGGCACAAUCAGUAGAGUAAUAGUGAAGGGAGGGACAAGAGGAGGCUGGGGCCGGGGCAUACGAUGAGCCCCCAGCUCAACACCCAGUGCCAGUACCAGUAGGACCCAGAGGGUUGGCACAGCACGAGCACCCAAGGAAGGCAGGCCCUGGGGUCUGUUCCCCCAGUGGGUGGCUGUGCCCCAAUCCACUAUGCUAAUGGGAGGCCCCAGGAGCUGCCUUUGAAGCCCUUCCCCAAACACCACUUGCCAUCUUCUGCGCGGCCCUGAGUAAGUCACCUAACCUCUCUGGAGCCUCCAUUUCCUGUCUACACAAUGGAAGUGAACAUACUCACCAAGUGACGGACCAGCAGGCUCAGGCCUGUAGGCGUUCAGGGAGAGCCCAGCGCAGAGUGCUCAGUGAGUGGGGGCCAUGGUGAGCCGACCAGUUCGUCACCAACCCUGCUGCCCUGGAAGCAAGCUCUCCUGCCUCAUCUACCCUGGCCCACAAGUGCCCUGGAGCCCUGGGUCUGCCCUGCUGCUGCGCCUCUGACUACCACUCACGGUGUGCCCUGCUUCCUUCUGUUCGUCGGGGCUAGGGGU